rfam:Dipodomys ordii contig_66676, whole genome shotgun sequence.
GGUGGCUCAGUGUUAGAGUGCUUGCCUUGCAUGCAUGAGGCCCUGGGUUCGAUUCCUUAGCACCA